CCUGACUGCUUAAACUGGAACAUACAUCUUCUUAUGAACAAGGAGCUCCUGGUUCUCAAGCCUUUAGACCUGGACUGGAAUCUACACCACUGGCUCUCUGGCCUUCUAACUGCACCACCAGAUUACCUGAGUCUCCAGCUUGCAGAUGGUAAUAAACCACAAAUUCAUCUUCUUCCAUGCUUUGUGAUAAAAGAAUUGGGCCCUGAAACUUUCUUCUUUGCCACCCAGCAAGAUGUUCAUCCUUGUCAAUAGAGGAUGCUGAAGGGAGACUUGGGGAGAAAGGAGUUUUCUUUUUUUGGUUCAGGCGUGGCUCUCUUGCCAGACUCCAGCAGAGAGUGUUUUCUCUAUUGCUUGGCCCACAGUUUCUCCCGUGCUCAGUUCCUAAGGAAUGCUCCUUUCUCCAGUAUUUGGCUGCAGUGCAAUCCUUCCAGCUCUCUACUCAAGCAGUGGUGGUAUACCUGGGAGCCCAAGAGCAUGCAGGCUGGUGCCCCAGCCCAGGUCACUGUUCCAAACCUCAGGAACGUACAUGCCCAGGACUGCAUAAGGCUGGGCAUCUAGCAAGCUGGCCACCUGACUUUUAUCCCUGCAAAUGUCCUAGAGAUACUCUGGUCCAAUCCAAGCACAAAAGUGAACUAAACGCUGCAGAAGAAAGCCCCUCCAGCACCCAGUUCCACAAGUGCUCAGCAGCCCACAGCUUCCCUCAGCACCUAGAAAGUUCUGAGGCUCCAAAAUUUCCUGCAGUCAGCCUUCUCCAACAUCCCCGAGGAAGACUUCAGGCACGUUCUCCUAGCCCAACACUGCUGGGACUUCUCUGCCAGAGUCUGGCGGAUAAUGUGCUCCACCUGACCAACAAAAGGAAAAUAGCGUAUUCAAGAAGCAAGAAAUUCAACAAAGGAGUGAAUUAGAGGGAAUUCACAUCCUGCCUCCAGGUGAUGUUGAUAGGAGACUCAGGUUAACUACUAUGUUAGAGCAGGAAGAUGGAGGGCAAGAAGAACAUAGCUAAAAAAAACCCCAAAUCUGAUAGAUUAUGUAUUGUGUUUGAAGAUGUCAAGAGGGUAUGAAUAACUGAUUGAUCCACAGAAAAGUAAACAAAAAUAAUAGCUAUCAAUUCCAAGGAUAGUCAACACUGUAUGACAAAAGGACAUAAAAUAAAAUUAUGCCACAUGGCUCUGUGGUGACUAAUAUUUACAGUCAGAAUGCUGUCUACAGUAAUGAGCUAAUCAUAAUAUAUUGGGAUGAUGGAAGGAGGGGUGUAAGAGAGAUAAACCUUCACCUCUUCAUAACAGAAAGCCAUAGGUAAUGCAUAAAACUGAAAAAGAAAAUCAAGAAAUGGAAGUACGAGCAUUUUCUGUAAUGAUGAUAAAUACCAGAAGAAAUAACUAAAAGUAAAAUAAUUUUGCAAAGGGCAUAACGAUACCAUUGCAAUUCCCUGCCUGAUCCAUUCCCAUCUCCAGUGUCUUCUUCCCAGAGGAAACUACUUUCACUCUUUUAGCUAUUUCAUUUGGUAUUUACCACCAUAUUUCUAAAAGUAAAGAUUAAUUUUUUAAAGAAACAGACUGUAGUAUAUCUACCUAUCAUAGGCUCUAUUUCAUGGUAAGUAGCUGCUACUAGUUGCAUGUUGUUGUUAUUGUCGUUGUUAAAUGAAGAAAACUAAGUUGUGUUAUGAGCAUUGGAAUGCAUCAGGAGACACACCAUUAGAAUGGUCAAAUAUUUCAAAGUGCUGCCUAAGGAGCCCUUGGCACUCAUAGGCAGCAACGUGGACUUUUUUGUACUACAUGUCCCUAUGCAGACACAGAGAUAUAAUUAACAGAAAGGGAAAAGGAAAGGGGAGUGAGAAAGUUGAAGAGUCUGAAUGUUAUUUCAACUUAAUAAGAUCAAUAAACUAGAAUUGUCCUCUUACAAGAGAAGAAAUACCUUGGCACCCCACAGUAUUUCAAAUAUGUCAGAGGAUAAUAGUUAAUACCUACAUAGAACUUACUAUUGGUCAAGCAUACUACUCAAGAAGAGGCAUACAUUAUUUCCAUCAAUACUGAUGACAACACUAUGGGAUAAAUAUACUGUUUUUUAUUUCCCACUUUACAGAUGAGGAAACUGAGGAGCAGAUUAAGUAAUUUGGCCAAGAUUAUGCAAUUAGUAAAUGAAGAGCCUGGUCUCAAACCCAUAUAACACAGCUCUGUGAUCCUUGCUUUUUAUCAUUAAUCCAUGAAAUGGGAUCCAUAUAGAACCAAGCUCAGGUCUAUGUCUUUUUCUGCUAUUAGACUCUGGUAGGGGAAAGUUAGGCAGGGAAGGAUAAACUGGAACUCUGUGUCAGAGGAGGUUUCUCUGUGUUGGUGAUGCUGUCAGGUAGAGGGAGGAGGUAAGUAAAAUGAGCUGAUUGUUAGCAAAUAUGCAUUUGAGGUUACUACUGUGCCCACAGCCUACCCUGGACCCACAGUUAACAUAUUAAUGGUAUAUGCUGUAUGUAUAUAUACUCCUCCCAUAAGCCUAAACACAGCCUCCCAGAAUGGGAACCCUCUGUGGGAUGAAGGGGAGAGAAAAUGACAUCAGUCAGGAGUAAGAAGUACACUUAUUUUCUGCUCAAGAGUAGGAAAGGGUCUGCCAAGGGAGAGGGUGUUUUAGAGCCAACCAUGGCCGUGCUAAUGCACCCCACUCAUGGAAAAGUUAGAGGAAGAGAAGGACAAAUCACAGAACCCUAGAUCAAAAGUGCUCUGAAGAAAAGAUAUUUCUUAACUCUCCCGAGCUUUAAUUAUGUUUAAAAAAGAAAAAUUAAACAAAUUUAAAAGAAAUGAAAACAUUAUCAAGAAUCUGAUUAUUAGGGACUGGAGAAGGGAAGACUUGCUGCAAAUGGGUUCAGAUAUUAUACAUUAUCAGUAAAACUGUUUCAAAGCUUGAGUGCAUCCUAAUCCCCACCUAAGGAGACUAGAACAUGUUCUCAGAUUUCCUGGAGAGUGACUUAAGAGCACAUAAUAUAUACCCUUUGGAAUAUAAGCAAGACCAGUUCGUAAAGUAUCUCAUUGCAGAGCAGCUUAAAUUCCUGCUCCUUCCCAGCUGUGCUCAGACACUUGGCUGCCAGCAGAGAGAAAAGACAGAGCUCCCCAGAGACCCACAGAGUCAGUGUGCUUUGCUGCAGGGAGUUUAGCUUUCAAGGAAGAGAUAACUAUUAACCCUUUGCUUGGUGACUGUACACAUCUACAUGCAAAAUGAAUUAUAUUUCAUACAAGAAUUUGCUUUUCCUAGUUCCUGAAUCUGAUGUCGUCUAGGAACAUUGAUUCCCUUAGAGAUAUAUGUGGGCCCUACUUUGG
rnacentral:lncRNA from 10 species